ACUGUGAAGGAAAGAUGAAAAGCACUUUGAAAAGAGAGUGAAACAGCACGUGAAAUUGUUGAAAGGGAAGGGUAUUGCGCCCGACAUGGGGAUUGCGCACCGCUGCCUCUCGUGGGCGGCGCUCUGGGCUUUCCCUGGGCCAGCAUCGGUUCUUGCUGCAGGAGAAGGGGUUCUGGAACGUGGCUCUUCGGAGUGUUAUAGCCAGGGCCAGAUGCUGCGUGCGGGGACCGAGGACUGCGGCCGUGUAGGUCACGGAUGCUGGCAGAACGGCGCAACACCG
rnacentral:rRNA from 1 species